GUGGGGAAUCUUAGACAAUGGGGGAAACCCUGAUCUAGCCAUGCCGCGUGAGCGAUGAAGGCCUUAGGGUUGUAAAGCUCUUUCAGCUGGGAAGAUAAUGACGGUACCAGCAGAAGAAGCCCCGGCUAACUCCGUGCCAGCAGCCGCGGUAAUACGGAGGGGGCUAGCGUUGUUCGGAAUUACUGGGCGUAAAGCGCGCGUAGGCGGACCAGAAAGUUGGAGGUGAAAUCACAGGGCUCAACCUUGGAACUGCCUUCAAAACUCCUGGUCUGUAGUUCGAGAGAGGUGAGUGGAAUUCCGAGUGUAGAGGUGAAAUUCGUAGAUAUUCGGAGGAACACCAGUGGCGAAGGCGGCUCACUGGCUCGAUACUGACGCUGAGGUGCGAAAGCGUGGGGAGCAAACAGGAUUAGAAACCCCAGUAGUCC
rnacentral:rRNA from 1 species